rnacentral:rRNA from 1 species
CACUGGUAGGUGGGUAGAAUAUACCAAGGGGAGCGAGAGAACCCUCGUUAAGGAAUUAGGCAAAUUUCCCCCGUACGUUCGCUAUAAGGGGGGCCUCUGGUGGUGAGCUUAAUCGCAAAGCUGCUGGAGGCCGCAGAGAAAUGGCUCUUCCAACUGUUUAACAAAAACACAGGUCUCUGCUAAGUCGAAAGACGAAGUAUAGGGGCUGACGCCUGCCCAGUGCUGGAAGGUUAAGGGGAGAGGUUAGGCGCAAGCCGAAGCUUUGAGCCGAAGCCCCAGUGAACGGCGGCCGUAACAAUAACGGUCCUAAGGUAGCGAAAUUCCUUGUCGGGUAAGGUCCGACCCGCACGAAUGGCGUAAUGAGAGGAGCACUGUCUCAACGAGGGACUCGGCGAACAUUGAAGGACGUGUGAAGAUACACGUGACCCGCAGCGGGACAAAAAGACCCCGUGAAGCUUUACUACAACUUGCCAUUGAGUUAGGGCUAAACCUGUGUAGUAUAGGUGGGAGGCUUUGAAGCUGGGACGCCAGUCUCGGUGGAGCCACCGUUGAAAUACCACCCUGGUUUAUUCUUGGCUCUAACCUGUCGCCGUUAUCCGGCAUGGGAACAGUGGCUGGUGGGUAGUUUGACUGGGGCGGUCGCCUCCGAAAGCGUAACAGAGGCGCCCAAAGGUUCCCUCAGGCUGAAUGGAAACCAGCCGUUGAGUGUAAAGGCACAAGGGAGCUUGACUGCAAGACCAACAAGUCGCGCAGGGACGAAAGUCGGGCUUAGUGAUCCCACGGUUCAGAGUGGAAUGGCCGUGGCUUACCGGAUAAAAGCUACUCCGGGGAUAACAGGGUAGUCUGGUCCAAGAGUUCAUAUCGACGACCAGGUUCGCCACCUCGAUGUCGGCUCAUCACAUCCUGGGGCUGGAUAAGGUCCCAAGGGUUGGGCUGUUCGCCCAUUAAAGUGGUACGUGAGCUGGGUUCAGACCGUCGUGAGACGGGUCGGUCUCUAUCCGCUGUGGGCGUAAGGGAUUUGAGAGAAGCUGCCCCUAGUACGAGAGGACCGGGGUGGACGGACCUCUAGUGUGCCAGUUGUUCUGCCAAGAGCAUUGCUGGGUAGCUACGUCCGGCAGAGAUAACCGCUGAAAGCAUCUAAGUGGGAAACUCGUCUCAAGAUUAGAUCCCUCAUCCGUAUGGAGUAAGACCGCUAGAAGACUACUAGUUUGAUAGGCGGCAGGUGUAAGCGCAGUAAUGUGUUCAGCUUAGCCGUACUAAUGGUCGAGGGCUUACGUUU